rnacentral:ncRNA from 2 species
CAACGUGUUCCGGGGUCGGUGCAAGUCCGAACCGGCGGUCACAGUCCGCGAACCGUGCGGCGCCCCAGCGGGGCGGGCACGGCCGAACCGGUGGAACUCCGGUACCGACAGUCACAGUCUGGAUGGAAGGCAACACGUUC